rnacentral:rRNA from 1 species
CGGAUUGAAGGCUGAAAUUCGCCUUCCAUGAAGCCGGAAUUGCUAGUAAUGGCAGGUCAGCAUACUGCCGUGAAUACGUUCCCGGGCCUUGUACACACCGCCCGUCACACCAUGAGAGUUGGGAAUACCCGAAGCCUGUGAGCUAACUUUUAGAGGCAGCAGUCGAAGGUAGAAUCAACGAUUGGGGUGAAGUCGUAACAAGGUAAC